UACGUAGGGGGCAAGCGUUGUCCGGAUUUAUUGGGCGUAAAGCGCACGCAGGCGGACUUGCGCGUCUCAGCCAACAUCUCCUCGCUUAACGGGGAGCCGAGCUGGGAAACGGCAAGUCUUGAGGACCAGAGAGGAAGACGGAAUUCCGGGUGGAGCGGUGAAAUGCGUAGAGAUCCGGAGGAACAUCCAUGGCGUAAGCAGUCUUCUGGCUGGUGCCUGACGCUCAGGUGCGAAAGCUCGGGGAGCGAACAGG
rnacentral:rRNA from 1 species